GCUUGUCUCAAAGAUUAAGCCAUGCAUGUCUAAGUGUAAAUACGUCUACACUGUGAAACUGCGAAUGGCUCAUUAAAUCAGUUAUCGUUUAUUUGAUGAUCUCUUGUUACAUGGAUAACCGUAGUAAUUCUAGAGCUAAUACAUGCGUCAAGCCCCGACUCACGAAGGGGUGUAUUUAUUAGAUUUCAAUCAACACUUUUUGCUGACUCAUGAUAACUUAGCGGAUCGCAGAGGCCUCGCGCCGGCGACAAAUCAUUCAAGUUUCUGCCCUAUCAGCUUUCGAUGGUAGUGUAUUGGACUACCAUGGCAUUCACGGGUAACGGAGGAUUAGGGUUCGAUUCCGGAGAGGGAGCCUGAGAAAUGGCUACCACAUCCAAGGAAGGCAGCAGG
rnacentral:rRNA from 1 species